UCCUAGUAUACAUAGUUUCCUUUAUGUCCAGCCUGGCAAAUUCUGAUUACUUCUGAGAUAGGCAGCAUUAUGAAUCAGUCCGGAGUGCUUCUGCAGACAAGCACAUUCCUGCAGCACAGCUCCCUAAAAAAUCCAGAGGCAGAUGGAAAUACAGCUAAGGAGUAAUUAAAUGUGGCUGUUCCUCAAGAAACGAGCCUGUAGUAGCAGCUCAGUGGGCCCCAUUAAGCCAAGUACAAGAUGCAACUUCACAGCAUGCAGUCUGCAGUCACAGCGCACUGAAGCAGUACAGUUUCAAUUAACAUCGCCCAGAACAAUUCCCCUGCAAGAUGAAGACUGAUCCAAGAUUUCAUGUUGGAAGAUGCUUUCAAAAACUUUUGACAAGAUCUUCUGUGACUGGAGAUGAACUGGAGAUGAAUGCCAAGCUAGAUCUUCUGUGGAAACCAUCAAGAGAAAAGCAGAUCCUGAGGGAGUGGAGUGGCUGAAGAACAAGGAAUUGAUGCAUACAGAAAAGCCUUGGACAAACCUGAGGUUCAGAUAAACCAAAUCUCACUCAAACACUCUGCAGCGUCAGGACCAGUGAAUCCACCUGGCAAAUCUCCGCUUGUCCGAGGGGCUGUGCCGGCCCGGGGAUGCUCCAGCCUGGGGCUGAAGGUACCGGCUGUGGCCAGACGAUGUCACGCUAACCCCGCGGAUGCUCGGCAGCCCGCAGUUCAUCUCCCCAGCCGCAAGCACUGCAGUGGAGCUGCCUUCUGUCCUGCUGCAUUAAUGUCUUCCCAAGCUCUCCUUUUCGUACCAAUCACACAGCACAGAAGGUGCCAUUAAGGCUUUAAAAUUUAAUGAGCUCUAAUAAAACCUCUCCCUGUGAUAUACAACCCCAGAACAGGCUAUGCUGCGGGAACAUUGCAUUGUGUGGGCCCUUAUAUCUUUCCCUCCUUUCUGUUUUAACAGUGGAUUCACUUUAAUAGCAUUUCUGCAUCUUUAUGUUGUGGAGUUACUGCAGAUUAACUCCACGGAGGAAGGUAGGUGUCUGAUUCUCUGACGAGGGGUAGCUGCCCCACCCAGCCAGAGCGUUUGCAUUCCUGGCACGCCGAGAAGUGCAAACCUGCCUGAACCUUGGCUUGGCUGAAAUGAUCAUGCCUAAAUCCUGACUGAUGCCUUCCCAGCCCACGGAAAUAAACGGGAAGUCCGUCCUCCCUCCUGAUUUGACCAAGAGUUCAUCCUCUAAAUUUACAGGGUGCAAGAAGCUCUGUAAGUGUCUCUAUCCCAUAAGCUUUCUCAGCACACCAGUGUUGUUCACUGGAAACAGAUGGCACUGGUCUAAGCCCUUUCUCAGGCUGUUGCAAACCCAGACUGAACUUCAGUUUCCCAUGCAGAGCCUCCCAUGUCCUGAAAACGUGCUGUGAGCAUCCAGCUGUUAGAUCCUCAGGGGUCUGGUCUCAGAGUCUCCUGCUGAAGCUGUUCCAUGUGGCAUCAAUAAUUAAAGAUUCACUGGACCAGAGAGAAGAAGUGGAAGAUGGACUCUCCUUCCCCAUGGUCAGGACACUCGUGUGUAAUGUGGGAAAGUCAAGUUACAGGUUCCUGCUCCAGUGAACAGCUAACUAGCAGCACAAGUUGGAGCAGCUCCAACAGGAGAGGCUGAGACCCCCCCUCCCUUCCCAGGACCAUCCAGGGCCUGCUCAUUUGGGCAUUUCAAUGAAGGAAGAGAAAGAAAACCGAGAGAAACCUGCAAAUUCUUCAAGCCCCUUAACUACUGAUUAAGAGCUGAGAUGUCUCUGUGGGAAGGACCUGAGCUACCUCACAUGAAACCUGAAGGAAGAGUGGGAUCAAAAGUGUCUGUCCAACUCUGGGUCUGUCUCCAGCCUCAGCUGAAGUCAGGUUCUGGUGGAAGAGCAAAACCACAGGGUAAAUGUUUAAUGAUACCUCCCCAAGAUACACACUGAACCCAAGUGGAUAAAACACCUGGUCACCUCACCCUUGUUCUCCAUGGUUUAUUCUUGUGUCUUACCCAGUCAUUUCCUACAAGCUUUAGCCCAUUAUUUUUCUUGUACCCGUGGCAGAGGGCUGGACAGCCAGAUCUGAACUGGGACAUCUCUGGGGUGGCUGUGUGCCUCUGGGGUGAGCACAGCAACUUGUCUGCAGGUUUGCUGCUGUGCAGCACCAAACAUUGUGCACGUCUGAGGCCCACAGGCACCACCACAGCACAGACCUAGGUCUGGUUCUGUGGUGUGUCACCAUAAGUGACACCAGUCUCUAUUGUCUUUCCCCUGAUGCUUUUUUUUUAAUGACCUGGGUGUGCAAGAUCAUCCGAGGUGAUUUGAUUUUAGUCUCAGAUUGGGUUUGCUCAUUUUGCAAAAAGAAAGGGAAAAAGAAAAAGUGUUUCUUCUUGAAAUAAGCCUCCAGCAAAAGUUCUCUCAAUUCACCAGUCUCUUGCAAAAAUUUUAGAGAGGAGACAAGGUGUGGAAAGAGAGUCAGUAUUUUCUACUUGGUAUAUUUGGACAGAAAGGCAAGUGCCCAAGUCUGAAGAAGAAAACUCCAGGCUGAGUUUAAAAGCUUCCAUUUCAUACUGAGAAAACUGCAGGAGUGUCUGAAUUUAUCCAGAUCAGUAGUGGAGCUAGUGAAAAGUGUUUGCAGAUCUUCCCCAAAGGAUAUCCUUACAUCACCUCAGCUGGCUGUGACACUUGGCAGAAGUGAGUGGAGCUGCACAGGUGUUAAAACUCAAUAGAACACAGAAAACCAAGGCUCUCAUGUAAGCUCCUUGUUAGGAGCGUUUUUAGGCACCUUUAAACAUGUUUGCAAUUCCCCUGAUUUCAAGUCAAGCUCCUUGCUUAACACAUUAAAAGGCAGAAUGACUUCGCUUUGGAAGCCCUGGAGACUUCAUGAAGAAGCCGUUUGACCUCCUUGUGUCUCAAUCCAUCCAGAACAUGAGAGUGAAAAAUAAACAGCACCUCAUUAAAAAAGAAAUAGAUAGUGUGACUGACCUGAGCUUGCCUUGGUAAAUAAAUUACAAAGCCAUAAAAGUGCUUGAGGAGCUGCUUUGCCCCUUUGAAACAACUCUCUAAACACAGUGCUGGGGGUGGUGCAGAGUGAUCACUGAGGAACUCUUACCAUUAUCUGCCUGUCAAGCCCCCAUACAUUCCUCCUUGUCUGAGCUAAGCAGAAAUUACAAACCAGUGAUGAGGGGCUGCAAUAAACACCAAAAGAGACUGAUUUACCCAUGAGCUUUCCCAACUGUUCUUGCCACUCAAAAGCAUCCCAAGGUCAGAUUAAUACCUGUGUCCUUCUCUGUUCCCAAAGGACUCACCUUGAUAGUUUAGCUACUCAGGGUUUUAGAUGCUGCUGCUGUCAGUGCUGUUUGCUGGGGUGCCCUGUAUUUUCUUGGUAAAUAGCAGGGUUUGUGAGGCUGGCACAAACAGUUGGACUGGAUGGUGUUGGUGGUAAAGUGGGUGUCUUCCAACUCAGGGUAUUCUGUGAUUCUAUGAAUAAGGAGCAAAACAGCAAAGGGGUGCUGGGAGAAGGGUCAGAGGAGUGAUCUGGGAUCUUCAAGAUUAAAAGAAAUAGCCAGCCAAAGUUUGGGACUGGUAUGGGUCUCUAAGCACUGAGAUAACAGAGUUUGUCUGAAUGAAAACCAGUGCCUCUGUGUCAGCAUCAAAUCUGAGUGCAGAGUGGAAAAGUCCCAUGGAUGUAAAAGCAAACGUUGUCUCUAGAAAAGCAUUUGUAGGGAGUUCACCACAGAUGGGGAUGGGUAGUGAUAUAACAGGAUUGAAAGUGGGGAAAGGCUCCAUAUACCACACAACCAAGUGAAUCAUGAUCCCCUGGCACACCACUGCUUCAGAAACAAACCUAAUGCACAGCAUCCCAUCAAACAGAGCAAACUUCAGCUUCCUGCCCACUGCUGCCUGGAUUAUCUGCCCAUGGAUUACCUUCCCAUGACCUGAAACUCUCAUCCUGCCCAUUCCUGCAUCCCUGAAUAGCCUCUGUCUUUGGGAAUGCAACCUGCCAGGGGUCACAUGAAGAGAUUACAGCCUAGACAUUUAAGCUACAUUAACACCUGUCCCUGUGCUGUGUCCUAAAGGCAGAAUGGCAAAAGGAUAUUUCCUCCCAUGUGUAAACAGAAACCUUCCUGCUGGACCGUGGUCCCAUCGAAGGGAAGGUGUAAACUUGCUUUUCAGUAGCUGCAGAAUCAGCGCUUAACUAAUGUGGAACUGCUGAGGAGAGAUAAUUUCUUGGCAUGGCCUUGUUAUGCUACCUUUAAAUUCUUGUGUAAUUAAAAAGAAGCAAGGAAAAAACCCCAAACCACAACAAGCACCACUUUUGAUUGCUCCCCCUAUGCUUAAUGAAGUCCUAAAGAUUAGAGGAAUGUGCAGACAAGACACCUGAGCAUGGCAGACCAGAGCUUGUGGGCUGUACCCAGCCUGCUGCUGGCACUGCACACAGCCAGUGUGGCUGCAGAGGAUCUCUGAGUGAUUCAGGUCACUUAUUAUCCAGGACAGCAAGACUCAGGCUCAGAGAGUGGAGAAAAACAACCGUAGCACUUAUGUUAGGUAGCCAAAUGCCCUUUGCCCUGGGCAGAAGGUGUGAUUUUGUGUGUCCUGACACCUCCUCUGCCUUCUGCUUGCCCAUGUGAAGGGCUCUGUCACAACCAGGUGCUGUAAGAUGAGGAUGGAGUUUGCCUUUGUUUUUAACCAUCCAAGCAGCUGUGUUGUGCCUCUGAAUGAGUUUGAGAUGCAUUUGGAAAGCAGCUAAACAGUAUUCUCUGCAUUUGAGGCAAUCAUGUUUAUUAUUUAAUUUUACUGCUUAGCAUUGGAGGACAUUGUUCAUCUUGAGGGGGAAGGGGCAUUUAUUGAGAGAGGUGCAGCACUUCAGAAAGAAGAGUAAGUUAGAUUUCCACGAUAUAAAUGUUCUCCCUAUGUACAGGGCAGUGAAAGGAGCUGUUUGCUCAGGAUGAAUUAAAGUAUUUAGUUGGCCUCCUCUCCCAGCAGCUCAUCUGGGGCCAUACCCUGUGGGCUCUGUGGGCUCAGAUGGGUUUCUUGAUGCUAUCAGUAGCAGCAGCAUACCUGCAAAUGUCUUAGGGGUACAAACCUUGGCCAAGCCACCCCAGGAGCCCGUGGGGCUACCCUGACACACUCUGUUUUCCAGCUUGAGCAUUUUUGGGCAAUCUGGGUGACUUUGUGGGCAGAUUCCCUCAGGCUUAUAUGUGCUGAGCAAUAUUUAAUGGGACAUCUUGGGGAGUGAGAGGCCAUUCAGGCUGAGAGGGGACUUGGGACUGGCCGUGACUUGGAAAUAUUGUGUAUAGUUAAGAUCUGCACACUCCAGUGAGACAGUUAAUGUGGUUAAAAUCAAUGAGCUGUGCUAAUUUACCUCAGCUGAAGCCUGCAUUUCACAUGGCUUUUCAGUACUUCCUUUAAACCCUAUUAAUUCUAAUGUUUAAUUGCAAACAAACUGGAUGGUGGAUCAGUUAAAGAAAAAUCUACUGUAAAGGGUCAAGGAUUUAACCUGUACUAUCUUUGUGACUCCCAUGCAGAUCUUUCAGACCAGUUAUUUGAAUAUGUUAAAAUCUAAUUUGAAUUGUUCAUCACAUAGAACAAGGUAAGCUUUUUUUUAAUGAGAGAUGUAACUUCAGGGCACUAUUAAAUUCUAAUUAAAAAUCAGUCAAAAGCACCCUUUCCUUAGUGUUUGUGCCUGCAGCAACACUUCCACUGUGGUAUCAAAAGCUCAGUUCAUUACUUCUUAAUUAAUUUUGCCUUGAGAAGCUCUAAGUUCUCAGAGGACCUGUUGGGUUUUUAGAGUGUUGUCUACAUAGUGUUUGCUUGUACACAGCAGCCACAAUGACAUUCAGAUCAGGAAUCCUUACCCAUUUAAUCCAAUUUGAUACAAUGUCUGCAGCCUGCCAGCUUUUGGGAACCUGAAAGAUGCCUGAAGUUCACAAUACAGAGGAUAUCCUGUCCGGAGCUACUGGUAUUGUAGGGAUUUUCCCUUCUCCCUAUUCCCAGUGUGCCUAUAUUGCAGUUGAAAAGAUUGGUAUAUAGGUUGAUUGAUUUUUUAAAAUUUUAUUUAUUUUUUUUUUAAUUUUAUAUUUUUGGUGAGGAAGAUCAUGAUGAAUAGGAAACUUGUCUUGCUCCUGACCCCAAAGAAAUCUUGUCUGGAAGUACGUGUUUCUUUUUUCAUAAGGAGAGAUAAGGAUCUAAAAUAAGGAUAGAUAAGGAUCUAAGAUAAGGAUAGAUAAGGAUCUAAGAUAAGGAUCCUGCAAUCCAGAUCUCCCACUGCAAAUGAUUCAUUUCCCCUCCUGGCCUGGCUGUGUGUCUGAUGGUGGGGAGCCAGAGCUGACCAGUGCCCUGGGACAAAGAAGGGAAAAGAAGGUAAAAGGGUGGAGGAGAAUAAUCAACCCAGUCUCACGGGACAUUUUUCACUGGUUUAGGGAAUUUCCCCCAGAAGAGCUUUGGUGAUGAGCAGACAAUAAACUUGCUUGGGGUGGCUUGAACAUUUGAGCAUUCCUCAAACUCUACAAGACAAGGGUUUGGCAGGAGAGUGUGAACCAAACUUGCAAAUGUUCCUCUGAGCUGGGCCUAGAGGGGCAUGUGUAGCUGCUGUCUAUGCCAGGAGGGACCUGGAAGAUAUAAAUUUUUAUUAGGAACCUUUGUAUUAAGCCUAGUUUGCACAAGCAGACCCUGUAACUAUCAAAGGCAGUAGUUCACAUCUCCAUUCAUGUGUGUCCAAGUCUUCUUGCUGCAAGGCACAGAGUUAGAUGGGUGGGGCUGAGGGAGCUGUGGAGAAAAAACAGUAUAAAUUGGGGGUAGGGAAGGCUUAAAAUGAGAUUUUGAGGCGAUGUCAGCUUCCAGCUUUCCUCUUGGAGAAAGUGCACAGAAAAAAAGGGGGAAAAAUUAAAAAUAGAAAGAAAAAAAUCUUGAUGAGUGGAUGUGGGCAAGGUGUUUUUGAUUCUGAGGGAAGCCCCCUUCUUUCCCCAGGUUAUCCUGUCCUUUUCUUCAGCAGUGCUUCAAAGAAAGCUCUCAUUUACUCUUCUGAAAUGCUGGUUUGGGGACAGAACAAUGGCUGGAUAUUUUGCUCCUCCUCUUCUCUGCUGGUGAUGGUGAGAGGGUUAAGCAAGAAAACACACUGGACAGCUUAUAAAUUACCCUCUUAGCUCUCUCAUUUCAGAGCCUGUGCAUGCUGGCACCAGCAGAAGCAGAUCUCAAGGCUGAGGUCCUGAGCCCUGUCUGCCCCUUCCCUGUUGCCAGAGCCACACUUAACAGCAGACUGGAUGGAUGGAUGGAUGGAUGGAUGGAUGGAUGGAUGGAUGGAUGGAUGGAUGGAAGG